rnacentral:rRNA from 1 species
GACGAACGCUGGCGGCGUGCUUAACACAUGCAAGUCGAACGAAGAGCGAUGGACGCUUGCUUCUAUCAAUCUUAGUGGCGAACGGGUGAGUAACGCGUAAUCAACCUGCCCUUCAGAGGGGGACAACAGUUGGAAACGACUGCUAAUACCGCAUACGAUCUAAUCUCGGCAUCGAGGAUAGAUGAAAGGUGGCCUCUACAUGUAAGCUAUCACUGAAGGAGGGGAUUGCGUCUGAUUAGCUAGUUGGAGGGGUAACGGCCCACCAAGGCGAUGAUCAGUAGACGGUCUGAGAGGAUGAACGGCCACAUUGGGACUGAGACACGGCCCAGACUCCUACGGGAGGCAGCAGUGGGGAAUCUUCCGCAAUGGACGAAAGUCUGACGGAGCAACGCCGCGUGAGUGAUGACGGCCUUCGGGUUGUAAAGCUCUGUUAAUCGGGACGAAAGGCCUUCUUGCGAAUAGUGAGAAGGAUUGACGGUACCGGAAUAGAAAGCCACGGCUAACUACGUG